GUCCCUGUAGCACAAUGGAUACCUCGUUGGACUUCUAAUUCAAUGGUCGUGGGUUCGAAUCCCACCAGGGUUG